rnacentral:rRNA from 1 species
CGGACGGGUGAGUAAUGUCUGGGAAACUGCCUGAUGGAGGGGGAUAACUACUGGAAACGGUAGCUAAUACCGCAUAACGUCGCAAGACCAAAGAGGGGGACCUUAGGGCCUCUUGCCAUCGGAUGUGCCCAGAUGGGAUUAGCUUGUUGGUGGGGUAACGGCUCACCAAGGCGACGAUCCCUAGCUGGUCUGAGAGGAUGGCCAGCCACACUGGAACUGAGACACGGUCCAG